ensembl:lncRNA
GUUUUGAGGCCCAGAGAGGCAGGAAGGCACGGUAGUGGACUCGGGACUGACUGUCUAGGUAUGGGUUGGGGACUAGAGCACGUGGAAAUCUUUUGCAUUUUGGUCCUCCAGAUGAUGGCUAAGCUCUGAUGCCUAGACAAGCACAAAAACAAGAGGUGGAGGAGAUCAUAGAGAACAUAAGUAUACUUGACUGGGAUUAUUCUUACAUGAGGAAGCAAGGAUCCCACUCUGUGCAAGAGAGACUGAUAUUGGCAAAGAGGCAGAAACAUGAAGCUCCUCUUCCAAAAAGAAUCCAACUAUUUCUGAAAGUGGAGACUGGAGGCUGCUACAACUUCCCAUCAUGGCCUUGGCAUGUGGUCUCUUGCAAGAUCAACCAAUGCUCUGGCAGGCAGAUCAUGAUCUCCUCAAAUACAGUAACCCAGGAAUAUAUUCUUCUCCUUUCCCUCAGUAAGUUGCAAGUAUAAAUAAAUCAGAUCUCUAGCACUGUAAAAUCUUAGUCUGUUGGACAGAAUUCUUGAAACUUCUGGGCUCUGGUAAACUGAUACUGGUAGGGAUUUCCCCCCACCCNCUUCAUAUAGAUGCUUUCAUUUCUGAGUUACAUAAAAAUAUAAGAACAUAAGAGGAACCCUGCUGGAUCAGGCUACAGCCCAUCUAGUCCAGCAUCCUGNCUCACACAGUGGGCCAUGAAUUGCUUCUGGGUGUUCUCAAGCAGAAGACAAAUGUUACAAAAUAUGCUCUGGAGCUCUGUACAUGCCCAGAGACAUAUGGGAUCUUUUUACCUUGGUCUUGGCAUGUCCUGAGAGCUUUACCCAAUAAGCACAGCCAUGUUGCAAAUAUGCUGUAAGGGGGAAUUUUAUUACUUCAUACAAAUUGAAGAAGGAUCCUUAUUUCAAAGUUUCUUUGAAGACUGGAGAUUAGAAGAGAGUUUCCCCUUGUCAGUCCUAACUCUCCUGCCCACCACCUUCAUAUAGUGCCCUUGUUUCUAGAGAUGCGUGAUAAAGAAAAUAAUUUUUCUCUAUCCACCUUUCCCACNCCAUGCAUGGUUUUAUUUAUUUCUGUCAAGUCACUUCUUAACCACCAUCUGUCAAGGCUGAAAAGGCCUAGACGUUGUGGCUUGAUAUUGUAAAGGAGGUGUUCCAGCCUGUUGAACAUUCUGGUUGCCCUUUUCUGCACUUUGUCCAGUUCCACAAUAUCCCUUCUGAGGUGAGGUGACUUGUUCCCCUAUUUUGACUCUGAUGCUUCUGGCAUUUGUGUACUGAACCUGAGGGGAAGGGUUUGUAACAGAUGCACCUCCAAGAUACACAAGCGUCUUGAAUGUGAAGUAGAGAGGUCAUUUCACCAGAGAAAAGGAGGAUGAGAGAUAAGCACCUGCCCUGCUAACAGAGUACAAUGAAUGUGAAGAUGGGAAAGUGCACAGUAACUUACGAUGACAUUUUGUUUGAGGGAGGCUGAGAGAAGGUGAUGGACUGAAANCUUGCCAUGAAUGGAAAUACUGGCCCUCCAACAACGUAGUCUCCUGGCUUGUAAUAAUUCCAUGGGUCACUUUCAUCUCUGACCAAAUUCAGCAGACAUUUGGCCAUUUGUACCUCAUUGAUUCUCUGGGUCAGAAAAAGCAACAACAGGAGGAGCAAAGCAAGGCAGGUUCUGCCUGCGAUGGGCCUGUUUCUUGGGAGAGCAAAGAUGUCAGCAAAUUGAACCUGAAUGCCAGGCAUGGCUUCUGAUUCAAAAUCUCCCCUCUGGCCCACUGCUGCUGUCUAUCCCAAACCCUCAGUGGUAUGGAGGAUUUUAUUGUCUGGCACCUACUGCAGGCAAGUGAGAAGCAGUUCCUGCUCCACCUGAACUUGCUGUUGAUGGUUUUGGUCUCUAGGGGAAAACCCAGGUGUUUGGAUGGAGAGGNGAAGAAUAAAUCACUAUGAUCUAAAUAAUUAUAUGAACUG